CCUUGAUGGGGAGUUGCUACAUUCUGCCAAUGUGGUACAUUUUGUGUGGGUGAUUCCACAGAAGAAUUAUGAUGAAUGCUGUUAGUAUUAAUCAUUGUGUUCUUGAAUUAUAGCACUUGAAGUAAGACACUGUCUGGAGAAAAGAGGAGAAGAAGAAUCAUAUCCGUGUGACAAGCUGAUAUAGCUCUACCAACACUCUACCAGCUCUACCAACACAAUGAGGCUCCAGGGAGACCUCACUGUGGCCUCCCAGUACUUGAGAGGAGCAUAUAAACAGGAGGGGGGACGACUGUUUACAUGGGACUUUGGCAAGUCAUUUUUGUACUUGGUUUAUAUGAGUUGGGAAGCUGUGGAGCCUUGAUCCAACAUUCUCUCUUCUGGAACAUGGAAUUAAAUGCCCAAAUGGACUUUCAGAGGAACCACUGAGUCUCUGUAGUACACCUUAUAUACUAAAAAGAAACAGAAGACAGGAG
ensembl:lncRNA